UACGGGAGGCAGCAGUGGGGAAUAUUGCACAAUGGGCGCAAGCCUGAUGCAGCCAUGCCGCGUGUAUGAAGAAGGCCUUCGGGUUGUAAAGUACUUUCAGUCGUGAGGAAGGUGUUAAGGUUAAUAACCUUAGCAAUUGACGUUAGCGACAGAAGAAGCACCGGCUAACUCCGUGCCAGCAGCCGCGGUAAUACGGAGGGUGCGAGCGUUAAUCGGAAUUACUGGGCGUAAAGGGCACGCAGGCGGUUAAUUAAGUUGGAUGUGAAAUCCCCGGGCUUAACCUGGGAAUGGCACUCAAGACUGGUUAGCUAGAGUCUUGUAGAGGGGGUAGAAUUCCAUGUGUAGCGGUGAAAUGCGUAGAGAUGUGGAGGAAUACCGGUGGCGAAGGCGGCCCCUGGACAAAGACUGACGCUCAUGUGCGAAAGCGUGGGGAGCAAAC
rnacentral:rRNA from 1 species